GACGAACGCUGGCGGCGUGCCUAAUACAUGCAAGUCGAACGCAGUGGGGACGGGUGAGUAACACGUAGGUAACCUCCCCUCAGAGGGGAUAACACUUGGACACAGGUUCUAAACCGAUAAUGAUGGAUGGAGCCGCGUGGCAUUAGCUAGUUGGUGAGGUAACGGCUCACCAAGGCCACACGGCAUAGCCGACAUGAGAGGGUGAUCGGCCACAAUGGGACUGAGACACGGCCCAGACGCCUAAGGUAGGCAGAAGAAGGGAAUCUUCGGCAAUGGACGAAAGUCUGACCGAGCAACUCCGCGUGAGUGAAGAAGGUUUUCGGAUCGUAAAACUCUGUUGUUAGAGAAGCGGUAUCUAACAAGAAAGCCACGGCUAACUACGUGCCAGCAGCCGCGGUAAUAC
rnacentral:rRNA from 1 species